rnacentral:rRNA from 1 species
GAUGGAAAGUGGGCUUAAAGAAGCCAUCUUUUUAGAGUGGGUUAAUCCUCAGUAUUUCUAGUUAAUGAUCAAAUGAAGUUCCUUUUGUUCAACAAAACUUCUUCACGAAACUAAGGAGUGAAGGUAAUAAUGUAAAGAUGAGUAGCUCAGUUUUUGGGGUUUAUUUGGUUCAGGAAAUUAAACGCUAAGUGAACGAUGAUGAUAAGCAAAGCUAAAGGAACUCGGCAACAACGAAAACCGCCUGUUUAGCAAAAACAUGGCUCCUUGAAAUCAUAAGGAGUCGUGCCUUCCCGGUGAGUUUAAACUUAAACGGAUGCGGUAAAGCGUGCUAAGGUAGCUAAGUUAUGGCCUAGUUAAUUGUAGGCCCUGUGAAUGGUUUGACGAGUUUUCUUCUGUCUCUAGCUUGUUUUAGUGAACUUGAAUUGGAUGUGCAAAUGCUUCCUUGCGAAAGAAAGACGAGAAGACCCCGUGAAGUUAGAAAUCUAUGUGCGUGGAGGUAAAAGGUUACUUUCCUUAGCUUAUGGUUUUGG